rnacentral:rRNA from 1 species
UACGUAGGGUGCAAGCGUUGUCCGGAAUUAUUGGGCGUAAAGAGCUCGUAGGCGGUCUGUCACGUCGGCUGUGAAAACCCGAGGCUCAACCUCGGGCCUGCAGUCGAUACGGGCAAACUAGAGUACUGCAGGGGAGACUGGAAUUCCUGGUGUAGCGGUGAAAUGCGCAGAUAUCAGGAGGAACACCGGUGGCGAAGGCGGGUCUCUGGGCCGUAACUGACGCUGAGGAGCGAAAGCGUGGGGAGCGAACAGG